rnacentral:rRNA from 1 species
GAUUUCGGAAGGUCCUUUGCGGUCCGCCCCUUCGGGGAGCGGGUCGCAGGCCUCCUAUGUUCCUAACGGUCCUCCUGCCGCGAGGUGGGGGGAAUCAACCGCUAGGAUCGUUUACUUUGAGGAAAUUAGAGUGUUCAAAGCAGGCGUAACUCGCCUCCGAAUACGUUAGCAUGGGAUAAUGGAAUACGACUUCGGUCUUGUUUCGUUGGUUUCGCUUGGCUGAAGUAAUGAUUGAUAGGGACAGUUGGGGGCAUUAGUAUUUAGUUGUCAGAGGUGAAAUUCUAGGAUUUACUAAAGACUGACCAAUGCGAAAGCAUUUGCCAAGGAUGUUUUCAUUAAUCAAGAACGAAAGUAGGGGGAUCGAAGACGAUCAGAUACCGUCGUAGUCUCUACCGUAAACUAUGCCGACCAGGGAUCCGGAGAGUUUGCAUGGAUGACUCCCCGGGCACCUUGUGAGAAAUCAUAAGUGUUUGGGUUUUGGGGGGAGUAUGGUCGCAAGGCUGAAACUUAAAGGAAUUGACGGAAGGGCACCACCAGGA